rnacentral:lncRNA from 1 species
ACGUCUCCCUAGCUGAAACGCCAAGAGGACUGGACCGAUAAUGCUGGCACCACCAGAGUACCCAGGUGAGAGGUUCUGGGUGAUGAGGAGACACUUGCCGCACUCCGAGCCAUGGACGUGUUACAGGAGGAUCAUGCUGCUCCGCAAUAUUCUCAUCCGGAACGGACAGAAAAUAACCAAAUGUCCCAGGAACACUGUCCCCAUUGUUAAUACUACGUCUCAACUGCUGUCUGACUGACGUACGAUAUCCUAUCUGGACCUGCCAUUCCUCCAUCUGGCCAUUUCUUCACCUAGUUUCAUUCUGCCCUUUCACUUACACAGCUAGACUCAACCCUGCAGGUAACAAAUACCAGCAGCUCCUUUUCACAGACGUCCAGCUGACUCUUUUAUCUCAUUUCCUAUAGACAUUUAUAUUUCCCAGCUCUGGCUUCUCAGAUUUCUUUGAAACUCCUUGCCUCUUUAAUCCUCUGCAGUCAUUCUGCAACAUGCACAUGUAUGUGUGUGUUGUUUUCUGUUUGCUUUAACUAUACACAAACUAAAUAUCCAGGGAGAGGAACCCCAAUUGUGAAAAUGUCACCAUAAAUUGACCAGUAAAUAAGUCUCUGGGGGCAUUUUCUUGAGUUAAAAUUGGUAGGAGAGGGUCUAGCCCAUUGGGGGCGGUGUCACCACCAAGCCAGUGGUCCUGGGUGAUAUAAGAAAGCAGAAUGAUGGGGCUGAAGAGAUAGUUCAGCUGUUGCUUGUUCUUAUAGUGAACACUGGUUUAAUUCCCAGCACCAAUAUGGUAGCUCACAAACGUCCAUAACCUCCAGUUCCUGAGAAUCCAAUGCCCUCUUCUGACCUCCGUAGGCACCAAGCACGUCUUUGGUGCACGAACAAGCAUUCAAAAAAAAAAAAAAACAAACAAACAAAAACCCUCAUACACUUAAGUAAGUCUAAGAACAAAAUGGAGAGAGAGAAAAAAGCAAUCUGAGAAUCUGAGUAAAUCAUGAGGAGCAAACCAGUAAGCAGCAUCCCACCAUGGUAAUGGCUUCUGUUUCUGCAGCAAGUUCCUGCAUUGACUCCCCUAAACAAUGGACUCUUGACAUGUAAGCCAAAUAUUUAUGGCUAGUUUUGUGUCAACCUGACACAGCUGGAGUUAUCACAGAAAAAGGAGCUUCAGUUGGGGAAAUGCCUCCAUGAGAUCCAACUGUAAGGCAUUUUCUCAAUUAGUGAUCAAGGGGGAAAGGCCCCUUGUGGGUGGGACCAUCUCUGGGCUGGUAGUCUUGGUUCUAUAAGAGAGCAGGCUGAGCAAGCCAGGGGAAGCAAGCCAGUAAAGAGCAUCCCUCCAUGGCUUCUGCAUCAGCUCCUGCUUCCUGACCUGCUUGAGUUCCAGUCCUGACUUCCUUGGUGAUGAACGGCAGUGUGGAAAUGUAAGGCAAAUAAACCCUUUCCUCCCCAAUUUGCUUCUUGGUCAUGAUGUUUGUGCAGGAAUAGAAACCCUGACUAAGGCAAAUUGGUACCAGCAGAGUGGGGUAUUCCUGUGACAGCCUGACCAUGUUUUGGGGAGGACUGUGGAAGGACUUUGGAACUUUGGGCUAGAAGAUUCACUCAGUGUUAAGAGCUCUGUCAGAUGUUGUGUAGGAGCUUGGAAGAUAAUGUUGAGAACAGUGCAGAAGAUGGAGGCCUGGCUUGUGAAAUUUCAGAGGGAAAAUUAAAGACUCUUCAGAGCCAUUGCUAUUUUGGAGUUUGAUUAUUCUGUGGUUCUGGUUAGCUGGAGCUGAAGAAUCAGCUGUGAUUAACAAGAUACCAGAACUACUAAAGCAAAAUCUUUGCAUUACUGGCACUAUUGAUGCUGGUUAGCUGGAGCUAAGAAAUUAGCAGUGAUUAAGAAGAGACCAGCAUCGUUGAGGUGACAUCUUCUGGGAAGUGUUUUCUGAAAGCACAAAGAAGUUGUGUUCCAGAGAUAACCAAGGUUGUACUCCUGCUGCAGUGGGACUUGGUAAUGUGUAAGGGUCACCCAGGUGGUACUGGUUUUGAAGGCAUGAAGGGGUCACGCAGAGCAGCUGAGGCUCGGCACUGUGAGAGGCCAUGGAAGGCCAUUGGUGAAGGUGCAGCCUCAGUUGCAAUUGACAGCCCAGGACUGAAGGGGUCAUGCAGUGUUUUGGAGAUGCCAGUACCAUGAGAUGACCACCAAGAGCAGCAGCAGUGGAGUACAGGCAUCUGGAGCCUAGAGGAUGACGUGUGUGCUACAAAGGGCAUAGCUGAAGAAGUGGCCCAAGCCCUUGGAGGAGCCCAGAAGAUCGUGAGUUGGAUCCCAGACAUUGGAUGGUUGGAGAUUGAUUUUUGCUUUUGAUUGUGACUGUGCCCUGAUAUUUUCCCUCUUUAAGGAAGGAAAUAUUUUAGUGGAUCCCACAGUUAAGAGACUUUUAAUUGUAAAAAGACUUUGGACUUUAAAAGAUAUUGGACAUUUUAAAGGGAUUGACUUUUAAUAUGUAAAGACUGUGGGACUUUUAAAGUUGUUUAGAUCUUGGGGAUGAAUAAGAAACUAAGGGUUGAGGCUUACUAGUGAUGUGUUUGUGUAUCAAGUUGACAAGGGGUCAAUUGUACUGGCUAGUUUUGUGUUAACUUGACACAGCUGGAGUUAUCACAGAAAAAGGAGCUUCAGUUGAGGAAAUGCCUCCAUGAGAUCCAACUGUAAGGCAUUUUCUCAAUUAGUGAUCAAGGGGGAAAGGCCCCUUGUGGGUGGGACCAUCUCUGGGCUGGUAGUCUUGGUUCUAUAAGAGAGCAGGCUGAGCAAGCCAGGGGAAGCAAGCCAGUAAGAAACAUCCCUCCAUGGCCUCUGCAUCAGCUCCUGCUUCCUGACCUGCUUGAGUUCCAGUCCUGACUUCCUUGGUGAUGAACAGCAGUAUGGAAGUGUAAGCAGAAUAAACCCUUUCCUCCCCAAA